GGUAUUCUGCACAUUGAUGUAGGGGAUAUACCUCUGCCAGAAUUGCAAGAGUUGAGAACCCACAAACUAGCUUUCAGCUAUGCGGCAAACUCUGAACUGGAAACUCACAGUAUUAGGCUGCCAAAAGAAAGCACUGUGGGUGAUGUGCUUGAGCAUCUCAAGGACAAGGUGAAACUUUCUCGUCCAAAUGCAGAGCUCAGGUUGUUGGAAGUAUUAUCGCACAAGAUCUAUAA